rnacentral:lncRNA from 1 species
GUGAAGGGCUAUCAACAUUUGAAACAAUAACAAACAGUCAACAGCAAAUGGUGAUCUCACUUUGAAACACCCCCUCAAAAAGCUAUGACAAGGCCUUACGGCCAAAUCCAACAGGGUGGUUCUACCAUAUACUCUUAUACCAUGACGACUCAAAUUGACAAGUGACAACGUAUUCGUGCAAUUCAUUGUACAUCAGGUUGGAGCCAUUGUAAAUUAGUUUGGCUAAUUAUCCCGCCUUGUUGAAAUGGUGUGCAGCACAAACAGAGAUUUUAUGUCAGCCUUUUAGAGAGCGGACACAAUUAAACCGGGUUCAUCCCUCCUAGAAUCCAUGCUGAUGUUGGACAGCACAGCCCAACUACCAAGAGCAUACCCCAUGGUUAAUCACCCUGCAAGUCAAGCUGCAGCCAAAGCGCUAUCAAAAUCAUGGGGCAGCCACGGAAUAAUGGCAGAGGAUACAACCAGUGGGGGUUCCAAUGUCAGUGUGAGACUCCCAAUCCACACCGUGUCGACAAGCUUUGGAGUUCUUGGCAGUGGUUCUCUCAGUUUGAAGAGGAAUAACGUUGUGGGUAGACUCGUGAAGACAGAUCUCAGUGGAACCGGAAGAGUGUUGACCCAAAGAAAGAAUUCUAGCGUGAAAUUCAAACAGUUGAGCAGUGGGGCAAUGGCAUCAGUGUUUGGGGGGCCCGUGAAAGGCCUGAAGAAAGCUCUGGAGGAGGUUUCCACACUGUCGCAGUCACCAACCAGGGAUCUACCAGUGCAGAUACACCUGUAGGCUCGUCGUCGCAGUCGUCGGAUUGCACCUUGGAUUUAGCGUCGGAUCAGGGGGCCAACGGUUCGAUGGGGGGUGGCGACAGUGAAUUGGAAUUAAUUGAAGAAACAUGGCCGGGAAAAGUGUGUACGUUUUGCAACCUAGGCGAAAGCAGUCAGCUGGGACAGGGUGAAAUGCUGAGGCUGGAAGUGGGCUAGGAUUUUGAAAGUUUACGCCAGAGCACGUUGUACAGUGAGUAGCGUCUCCAAUCGCUGGCCGCCAAUGCCGGGGCUGUCAGCACCAAUAAGACGUCGCUGGGCCCCUGCCCAGUCGGCGGCAAUACUUCCAGCAGUCAUUUGGUGGCCACCUCUUUGCAGCCGUUCCGCAUCAAGAAACCGCGACUGGCGCGACGCGUUGACGCGUCGCAAUCGUUUUGCUCUGAACUCCAAGAGGAGUUGAUGGCCGUGGGCUACGCAGAAGAGCUGCAUCUGCUGGCCAUCGUCGAGCCUUGCGGCUACUUUUACGCUCACCGGAUGUGCGCCAUUUGGUCGAAGGGCGUCAAGGUGGUGAACAACGACGACACCAACGCCGGCCCCAGUGUAGUGUCGGUUUGCUCGGCCAGCAGUUGGCCAGAAGUUGCCGGAGCCGAUUCCGCUCUGAUCCAGGCCGCCUUCCUACGAUGCCACUUAUGCGGCUCUUUCGGCGCCUCCCUCUCCUGUCAACAGGCCACGACCGGGGGCACUGUAUGGCCGAAAUCUUUCCACUUUCCCUGCGGAUGAAGUUUCGAAAAACUAAAUUUUGAUUGAAAUUGAUUUGCGGAUUAAUACGAUUGACUUAUCCUAGGCUUUUUUGAACGCCAAAACGAGAGGAUUGCAUUGUCCGGAUCAUAUUCAUCAGGGAUCGAUCAUGGCCGGCCCAUCAGACGCCAAUUGUGCCGUCUGGCAUUCCCAAUCCAAUGUGGCCAAUCAGCUCUUUUGCGUGACCUGCGGAAAACAUUACCACGGCUCCUGUGUCGGACUGGGUAGCAGCCCGGGAGUCUGAACGGCCUGGCAAUGCAACGAGUGCAAAGCGAUUUUCUACGUUUAAACAAGGUAAUUAAUUGUUGUCUUAUGUCCGUGAAGUCCUGCACAGUAAUCAGGCAUACAAGUACGUGUGUUCCCAAAUGUCACACAGAGAUGGGCAUGGCCCAAUAAUACAAAGAAUAUGAUCCUCAAUACGAUCAUCACUUCUAUUAUCCUCCAGGGAUCUAAUGAGUAUCCUUAUGUAUAUUCAACAAUAAUUGUAUACCUGGUUAACUAAUGUUAAGUGUUAACUUUCGAUUUUGAGUCGUAGGUUUUGUUUAGUCGUUUUUAAAGUUUGUGAAAUUGCGACUUGUUACUUUUGAGUUGAAUAACUAAAAAACUCAGAACAGCCUGGAAUUAAAUUACAGUGUUUUGUUUACAAUACAUUGAAGACC